rnacentral:rRNA from 1 species
CAGUAGCGAAGUUCCUGAUGUCACACUGCCAAGAAAAGCUUCUAGUGAGAAAGUAACUGCCCGUACCGCAAACCGACACAGGUAGUUGAGGAGAGAAUCCUAAGGUGUGCGAGAGAACUCUCGUUAAGGAACUCGGCAAAAUGACCCCGUAACUUCGGGAGAAGGGGUGCUGACCGCAAGGUCAGCCGCAGUGAAUAGGCCCAAGCGACUGUUUAUCAAAAACACAGGUCUCUGCAAAAUCGAAAGAUGACGUAUAGGGGCUGACGCCUGCCCGGUGCUGGAAGGUUAAGAGGAGAGGUUAGCGCAAGCGAAGCUUUGAAUUGAAGCCCCAGUAAACGGCGGCCGUAACUAUAACGGUCCUAAGGUAGCGAAAUUCCUUGUCGGGUAAGUUCCGACCCGCACGAAAGGCGUAACGAUUUGGGCACUGUCUCAACGAGAGACUCGGUGAAAUUAUAGUACCAGUGAAGAUGCUGGUUACCCGCGACAGGACGGAAAGACCCCAUGGAGCUUUACUGCAGUUUGAUAUUGCGUGUUUGUAUCACAUGUACAGGAUAGGUAGGAGCCGAAGAUACCGGGACGCCAGUCUCGGAGGAGGCAACGGUGGGAUACUACCCUUGUGAUAUGACCACUCUAACCCGCUGCUCUUAGCGAGCAGGGAGACAGUGUCAGACGGGCAGUUUGACUGGGGCGGUCGCCUCCAAAAAUGUAACGGAGGCGCCCAAAGGUUCCCUCAGAAUGGUUGGAAAUCAUUCGUAGAGUGUAAAGGCAGAAGGGAGCUUGACUGCGAGACCUACAAGUCGAGCAGGGACGAAAGUCGGGCUUAGUGAUCCGGUGGUUCCGCAUGGAAGGGCCAUCGCUCAACGGAUAAAAGCUACCCUGGGGAUAACAGGCUUAUCUCCCCCAAGAGUUCACAUCGACGGGGAGGUUUGGCACCUCGAUGUCGGCUCAUCGCAUCCUGGGGCUGUAGUCGGUCCCAAGGGUUGGGCUGUUCGCCCAUUAAAGCGGUACGCGAGCUGGGUUCAGAACGUCGUGAGACAGUUCGGUCCCUAUCCGUCGCGGGCGUUGGAAAUUUGAGAGGAGCUGUCCUUAGUACGAGAGGACCGGGAUGGACACACCGCUGGUGUACCAGUUGUUCUGCCAAGAGCAUCGCUGGGUAGCUAUGUGUGGACGGGAUAAACGCUGAAAGCAUCUAAGCGUGAAGCCCCCCUCAAGAUGAGAUUUCCCAUCACUUCAAGUGAGUAAGACCCCUGAGAGAUGAUCAGGUAGAUAGGUUGGGAGUGGAAGUACAGCGAUGUAUGGAGCGGACCAAUACUAAUCGGUCGAGGACUUAACC